rnacentral:rRNA from 1 species
UACGGAGGGUGCGAGCGUUGUCCGGAAUCACUGGGCGUAAAGGGCGCGUAGGCGGCUUUUUUAAGGGUGCGGUGAAAGCCCGGGGCUUAACCCCGGGUCGGCCGUGCCGACUGAAAAGCUGGAGCACUGUAGAGGCAGGUGGAAUUCCGGGUGUAGCGGUGGAAAUGCGUAGAGAUCCGGAAGAACACCAGUGGCGAAGGCGGCCUGC